rnacentral:rRNA from 1 species
GUUUGAUCCUGGCUCAGAUUGAACGCUGGCGGCAUGCCUUACACAUGCAAGUCGAACGGCAGCACGGGAGCUUGCUCCUGGUGGCGAGUGGCGAACGGGUGAGUAAUACAUCGGAACGUACCCUGAAGUGGGGGAUAACGUAGCGAAAGUUACGCUAAUACCACAUAUUCUGUGCGCAGGAAAGAGGGGGCUCGCAAGACCUCUUGCUUUAGGAGCGGCCGAUGUCGGAUUAGCUAGUUGGUGAGGUAAAGGCUCACCAAGGCGACGAUCCGUAGCGGGUCUGAGAGGAUGAUCCGCCACACUGGGACUGAGACACGGCCCAGACUCCUACGGGAGGCAGCAGUGGGGAAUUUUGGACAAUGGGCGCAAGCCUGAUCCAGCCAUGCCGCGUGAGUGAAGAAGGCCUUCGGGUUGUAAAGCUCUUUCGGUGGGGAAGAAAUGGCACGGGCCAAUACCCUGUGUUGAUGACGGUACCCGCACAAGAAGCACCGGCUAACUACGUGCCAGCAGCCGCGGUAAUACGUAGGGGUGCGAGCGUUAAUCGGAAUUACUGGGCGUAAAGCGUGCGCAGGCGGUUGUAUAAGUCAUAUGUGAAAUCCCCGGGCUCAACCUGGGAACUGCAUUUGAGACUGUACGGCUAGAGUUUGGCAGAGGGGGGUGGAAUUCCACGUGUAGCAGUGAAAUGCGUAGAGAUGUGGAGGAACACCGAUGGCGAAGGCAGCCCCCUGGGCCAAUACUGACGCUCAUGCACGAAAGCGUGGGGAGCAAACUGGAUUAGAUACCCUGGUAGUCCACGCCCUAAACGAUGUCAACUAGGUGUUGGAAGGGUUAAACCUUUUAGUGCCGUAGCUAACGCGUGAAGUUGACCGCCUGGGGAGUACGGCCGCAAGGCUAAAACUCAAAGGAAUUGACGGGGACCCGCACAAGCGGUGGAUGAUGUGGAUUAAUUCGAUGCAACGCGAAAAACCUUACCUACCCUUGACAUGUCAGGAAUCCCGGAGAGAUUUGGGAGUGCUCGAAAGAGAACCUGAACACAGGUGCUGCAUGGCUGUCGUCAGCUCGUGUCGUGAGAUGUCGGGUUAAGUCCCGCAACGAGCGCAACCCUUGUCAUUAAUUGCCAUCAUUGAGUUCUCUAGGGAGACUGCCGGUGACAAACCGGAGGAAGGUGGGGAUGACGUCAAGUCCUCAUGGCCCUUAUGGGUAGGGCUUCACACGUCAUACAAUGGUCGGUUCAGAGGGUUGCCAACCCGCGAGGGGGAGCCAAUCUCAGAAAGCCGAUCGUAGUCCGGAUUGGAGUCUGCAACUCGACUCCAUGAAGUCGGAAUCGCUAGUAGUCGCGGAUCAGCAUGUCGCGGUGAAUACGUUCCCGGGUCUUGUACACACCGCCCGUCACACCAUGGGAGCGGGUUCUGCCAGAAGUAGUUAGCCUAACCGCAAGGGGGGCGAUUACCACGGCAGGGUUCGUGACUGGGGUGAAGUCGAGACAAGGUA